CUUGCCUCUACCAGAAAAAUUUGGAGGAGACCGCAAAAAAUUCAGGGGUUUCCUAAAUCAAUGCCGUUUGCAUUUCAUGAUGUUACCUAACCGUUUUCCAUCUGAAAGAGAGAAGGUGGGAUUUAUUUUUUCCCUCUUCAAAGAUGAAGCCCUGGCCUGGGGCUCACCUUUUCUGGAACAGGACAGUCCAGUCUUGGGAAAUUUAAAAGACUUUCUUGAGGCCAUGUGUCUAGUUUUUGAUGAUCCCAAUCGCUGUGCUACAGCAGAAGCCACUCUCCUUCAUUUACAUCAAGGGAGGCGCUCUGUGGCUGAAUAUGCUGCUGAAUUCAGACAGUGGGUUACUGAUACUACUUGGAACCAAUCAGCCCA